CCGUCCUGUGACCUACAGCUCCGGGCUACCUGUCAGGGCGGAGGUAUUUCUUCAAAGAACAGUGAGGACAGACUAGGUCCACAAAAGUUCAGUAAAUGCCACAUCAGGCUUCGUCUGGAUAGAAGUGUGGGUAAGACAGUGUCCUGGUUCAGUGCACCCUGGGCGUCCGAAGCUGAGUCACGUCAUCGGUGGAAAUGACACCUGGAGAGCUCAUUCAAAGGACGAGUGGAAGUGGAGACAAUCUCAGGAUGCUCUUGCCGGCUGCUCUGCCUUUCUGGGCUUUGGCUGGCUGGUGCUACAUCCUUCAAGCCAUUCAAUGACAUGUACGGCAAGAGCAUGCACCCCCUGGCAACAGCAACAAAAAAGAAUUGGGCCAAUUUAUUAAGGAGUUGGACAGAUCUGGGAU